CCCAAAUAAAACCCAAGCAUCAGCUCAAGCGAGAACCGUCGAGGGCAAAAUAAUGCUCUUGUGAUCGGGACUUGAGGGAAGAACAUAGUACUUUCCUGACGGAGGAUGAAGAAAAUAACUUCUCUCUAAGGCUUGGCUUUUUGUGCACCUCCAUUGAGGAAGAGAUUGUUAAAGAUAAACAAAUGACCUUGUUGACUAUAUUGCCUUCUGAUGCACCAUCUACAUGUUUAGCACAGUAGUUCUGGAUUUCAUUGAGUGUUUACUCAAGUGGAUCAGCAGAUCUAUGAAUGACAAGAAGGAGAUCAAAAUGCUUAACAUAAAAGGAAUUUUUUCCAGUAAGAGGAAGAGAGAGAACGUCCAGGAAAAUAGGAAGGAUUUUUUGAAGUCCUGCUAUCAAUGUUGAUGAUGGAAGAGGGUGGCCGGUCAUCCACUGAUGACUGGAACACCUCAUCCUUAAUAUCUGUUGCGCGUCCAACUUCAUUGGAUUUAAAAGGUAGAUUUUCUUCCAACCGUAGCUUCUCUCGCAAUUCCUAUUUCACGAAUUCUCCUCUGGUAAUCAGAGAGGGUGGUUUUGUCUCUAAGCAGAAGUUUUUGUCGGAGACAGAGAAAGGAAAGGAAGUUAUUUCUUGUUUGAACAGUAAGUCAUUUUCACCUAGUUCGAUUUUUUUCCCUAAAUCAAAUGACAUGGAGGCUUCUUCUUCAGGUUGCAAGUCAAAAGAAGAUAAUCUGUUGAAGUAAGGUAAUGGUGUUGAUAAUAACAUUCUCGGUGAUGUUAAUAUUAAAAUUCUAGUUUCUUCCUCUGGAUUGGAUAAUUAAAAAACCACAUAUAAAAUAAAUUUGAAUUGAGGUUUGAUGGAAAUGAGGAUGCAAAUGUUGUCAAGCUUGAUAUGGAGAAAGCAAAAGCUAAUGUUCAGGUUUUGAGAAAUUCCUUGGUGGUGAAAAUUCUUUACAAGAAUUUGCCUUUUUCAAACUGUAGUCUUGAACUAAGGAGACAAUGGACUAAAUUUGGAGGGUUUCAUAUAACCUCACUUGGAUUAGAUUGACUUUUGUGUUCGUUUCAGUCAUCUGAAGCAAUGGAGGAAGUUCUUAGUGGAGGUCCUUAGUACGUUGGGGGCAUCACCAUUGGUAUAGACAGAUGGUCUCCUAACUUCUCUCCUAUCUCUAUGGAUGAGAUUUCUUCUCCCAUUUGGAUUCGUCUACCUCAUUUGCCUCUUCAUUGUUGGGAUGAAAUCAACAUUACUAAAUAGUUUUUAGAAUUGGGACCCCUUUAUUAUUAGAUGACAAUAUGUUUAGAUGGGGAAGAAGGGAAUUCGCUAGAGCUUGCAUUCGAAUUAAAUUGAAUACUAAGCUCCCUUGUGGUAUUUGGGUUGAACGUUUAAAUGGAAGAUUUUUUAAAAAAUUUGAAUAUGAAAAUCUUUCAUAUCUUUGUUUCAAAUGUGGAAGAAUUGGACAUAAAGAUUCUGUAUGUCCAUAUUGUUAAGAGAGUUGCUACUUAGCUUUUGCACCUCUUACAUUUUUGCAACUUGUAUAGUUUUAAUGAUUCCAAAUAUUAUUGUUCUUAAUUAUUAUUUUCUCCUAACAUUUUUUGGAAGAAUUAUUUUUACUCUUGUGUGGACUAACAUUUUAGGGUAAUCGUACUCUAGACUACUGAAAACUUCCAAUCAAAUUCAACAUAUCAUAUUUUGUAAAUUGAAGUAUGUAUUUUUCAUUUUAUUGAGUCUGAGAGACUGUGAUUGUAAUUGAGCAACCUAGCACAUAAACACUGAGGGAGAUCUUUAAAAGUUAAAAUUUUUUCUACUAAUCGUACGGGACGAACCAUGGUCGUACAGGACGAUCAGGUUAGUUGUACCCCUCGAAGAGCAAUGGAACGAAUAAAAAGUGAAGAAAUUUUUCUAAGUCCUUAUCGUUUAGAUAAAAUUCCAAAUUCGUACCUGGACGAUGUCCUCUGAUUUCUCACUUUGAACUGUUUGUCCAGACGAAAUAGUCAGUUCGUCCUUGGACGAUGUCCUCUGGACCCAUGACUUUAACUGUUCGUCCAAACAAAAUAGUCAGUUUGUCCCUAGACGAUGCUCUCUGGAUGCCUUCGUCCAGACGAUCAUUACGUUCGUCCCAGGACGAUGCUCUCUGGAUGCCUUCGUCCAGACGAUAAUUAUGUUUGUCCAAGGAUGAUUCUUUCUGGUUUGGAAACGUAAGAGUCAUUCAGUUUUUUUGUAAAAAUGAUUAUGGAAAUAACCGUUCAUACCGGACGAACAUGGUUCGUACGGGACGAUGAUCGGGUACGAAGUCAUUUCGUACCAAUGCACAUUGGGGUUCAUAUUCAACAGUUUUUACACUAUUCGUACGUACAAAUUUUGAUCGUACGGGACGAUCAAGUACGUACAGAAUUGAAAAGUUGCUUUUUUUGGACGGUUUUUUGUGUCUUUCAUAUAAAAGGUCCAAUGUAAACUGUAUUUUAAUCUUUUUGGUCAUUGGUCUUUGUGCUUACUAAAAGAAGAGUGAAGGAGAG